ensembl:snRNA Gm26473 predicted gene, 26473
GUGUUGUAUGAAAGGAGAGGUUAGCACUUCCCUUGACAGGGAUGGAAGAGGCCCUUGGGCCUAACAACACACAUACGGUUAAGGCAUUGCCUAUUACCUAUUUCGUGGCAUCUAACAAAAUAAAAGA